UUCUGGAGCAGCAGCAGACGGUGAGGCUGAGCUUUCACAGCCCCACAAACACUCAGGACAGUGAAACCAGUCCCACCCCUCCCAGGCUCUGGGGAAAACAUUUGUCAACACAAAUCUUUGGUGAGAGAAGCGAAACAAUGACAAAAAAAGUUGGUUCCUCUCCUCAGCAGCCCCGAGGCACCCUUGGGGUUCCAGGGCAGGGUCACCUGGAGCACAACCCGGCUCUGUGAUGUGGCAGAGACACACCCUGCAGGAGACAGGAGGAAAUCUUGAUGAGAUGUUGAGUCAGAAUCUCGUAAUCCUUGCUCAAAAGAUGAUUAAAAUGGAAAUAUUUUCUGAAACACAGCACAGGUGAAGAUCUGAGCUGAAGGAAAUGGAACUCUUCCAAAUCAGGAUGAUCCCAACCAGGAAUCCAGGAAUUUUUCAGGAUUUUUGAUCUGUAGGAAGGAGGAAAUCUUGAUGGGGUGUUGAGUCAGGAUCUUGUAAUUUUUAUUUGGAAGACCAUUAAAAUGGAAAUAUUUUCUCAGGAGGAAGUCUUGAUGGGGUGUUGAGUAAAAUCUCAUCAUUCUUAUUGAAGAGAUGAUUAAAAUGGAAAUAUUUUCUGAAAUGCAGCACAGGAGGAAAUCUUGAUGGGAUGUUCAGUCAGAAUCUUGUAAUUCUUGCUUAAAAGAUGAUUAAAAUGGAAAUAUUUUCUGAAAUGCAGCAGAGGUGAAGAUCUGAGCUGAAGGACAUGGAACUCUUCCAAAUCAGGAUGAUCCCAAUCAGGAACCCACCAAUUUCCAGGAUUUUUGAUGUUCCAUUUUUCGUUUUUUCAGGAGGAAAUCUUGAUGGGGUGUUGAGUCAGAAUCUCGUAAUCCUUACUGGGAAAACCAUUAAAAUGGAAAUAUUUUCUGAAAUGCAGCAGAGGAGGAAAUCUUGAUGGGAUGUUGAGUCAGCGUCUCAUAAUUUUUACUUAAAAGACGACUGAAAUGGAAAUAUUUUCUGAAAUGCAGCAGAGGUGAGGAUCUGAGCUGCAGAGCAAACGCUGCAGGUGAAACCUCUCCAGAAAAACCCUCCCCAGUGCCGAGGUGAGGGAGUGAGGAGCCAGAAAAAGAGGAUUUGGAGACAAUGUGACUCCAGCAGGCCACAAGGACAAUGAGAAGUUCAGAAAUAGCACUAUUGACUGGUGGAAAAACAACAUACAUAUAAUUUUCAGGCUUUGCUUAUUAAGAAUCAUUGGCUGUCUGUAGAAACAACUUCUGACUUCAGCACUGGGGCCUUAAAAAAUCACUUUUAAUUGGAAUGAGAGAGUUCCUCCCAGAGAAACCCCGGGUUUGUUGAUGCUGGAAGUCUGGAGAAAGCAAUUAAAAGCCUCCCUCACCUCUGUGAUGAUAUUUGGGAAAUAAAUGAGUUUUUCCCCUCAUGUCUGAAUAGUUUUUUGGCCAAUUGGAAGCUUCUGGAGGAUCUGAUGUUUUAAGUUUUACCUGGCUUUGAAUUUCUCAGCUCCCCAGGACCUGCUGUGGUUGCUUUUUUCUUCUUGUGCUGCAUUCACAAAUUAUGAAAAUGGGUGCUAAUGACCAAAAAAAAAAGAAAAAAAAAAUCCCAAUUGUGAUUCAUGGAAAUGGAAUUUUGUUGACAAGAAAAAGGGGGAUUUAACUUGGCCAAAGGAAAUGCUUUUCCAACUGGAGAUGAAUAUCUCAGGAAUGACCAUUUCUUCUCAGAGACAGAACUAUUCCAGUUUUCAUUUCAGAAAAAAAAAAUAAUAGAAUAAUUCAAAGAGGAGCCUGGAGAAAAGCAAGCAGACCCACCCAAAAGGGGCAGCUUUCCCAGGCAGAGAAGUCCCAAAAGUGAAUUUCAGGCUGGGAAUACAGGUGGGAAUUCUGUCAUUCCAGGCCGGGAAUACAGGUGGGAAUUCUGUCACUCCAGGCCAGGAAUACAGGUGGGAAUUCUGUCACUCCAGGCCAGGAAUACAGGUGGGAAUUCUGUCACUCCAGGCCGGGAAUACAGGUGGGAAUUCUGUCGCUCCAGGCCGGGAAUACAGGUGGGAAUUCUGUCACUCCAGGCCGGGAAUACAGGUGGGAAUUCUGUCACUCCAGGCCGGGAAUACAGGUGGGAAUUCUGUCACUCCAGGCCGGGAAUACAGGUGGGAAUUCUGUCACUCCAGGCCGGGAAUACAGGUGGGAAUUCUGUCACUCCAGGCCGGGAAUACAGGUGGGAAUUCUGUCAUUCCAGGCCGGGAAUACAGGUGGGAAUUCUGUCAUUCCAGGCCGGGAAUACAGGUGGGAAUUCUGUCAUUCCAGGCCGGGAAUACAGGUGGGAAUUCUGUCACUCCAGGCCGGGAAUACAGGUGGGAAUUCUGUCAUUCCAGGCCGGGAAUACAGGUGGGAAUUCUGUCACUCCAGGCCGGGAAUACAGGUGGGAAUUCUGUCACUCCAGGCCAGGAAUACAGGUGGGAAUUCUGUCAUUCCAGGCCAGGAAUACAGGUGGGAAUUCUGUCAUUCCAGGCCAGGAAUACAGGUGGGAAUUCUGUCACUCCAGGCCAGGAAUACAGGUGGGAAUUCUGUCACUCCAGGCCAGGAAUACAGGCCGGGAAUACAGGUGGGAAUUCUGUCACUCCAGGCCAGGAAUACAACCUGGCUCUGCAGGGCAGUCCCCAGAUGAGAUCCGAGCGCUGCCAUCGCUGCCACAGCUGGAGCCACCUCUGGAAAUGACUGCGUGUUGACAAAGGCUUUUUUUGGCAAGAAACCAUCAUCUGAGCCUCGGGAGCAGAGAGGAACAAAAUUUCACUACAUGUAAAUAACAGCCUAAAAAUAGAAGCGCAGAUUGUUUUUCUCAUUAAGUUCCUUCUCCAUCCUCCAGUAUAUUCUGCACUGAAAAGGGAGUGACUAUCAAAAAGCCCUGGAAAAAAAAAAGUGAGUGACUAUCAAAAACUGGAAAAAAAAAAACAAACCAAAACUGAAGAGCCUGGGUGAGGUUUGGCUGUAAAAAACACUGGCAGGACCGUUUUAAACCUGAUUUUCUGUAUCCCCUUUUUUUAGUUCUCUUCCUUGUUUUAAUGCAGCCGAAGCCAUUCUGGGGCUGUUUUAUUUAAAGCGAGUUUUGAGAGAGGACGCUGUGGUUUAUGGCCACGUGUCAAGUUUGAUAGUGUUGUGCCAUGAUUUAGCAAAACACUUGAAGCACAUGUCCACAUCCCACUGAAUUUGGUAGGAAGUGGAGAAGCAGAGGAAAAGCUAUUUGGCUGUGCAGCAGCCUCAUUCAGGGGGAGAAAAGACAAAAGUAACUGAAAUAAACCAAGGAUUUGUCUCCACACAAUCACAGAGCUUUAAGGCCAAGUUCUUUCAACUCGAUGUGAGCUCAUUGAUCAUAUUAGAUCACGGUCGUGAGGUGUGUUUAAUAAUUUCAAAUGAAAGGGUUCUGCACUGGGCUGCCUCAGACCACUGAAAUAGACGGGCUAAUUAUGGGAGCCGUGGGCGUGCUGGAGUCAUCUGACUUUUAUUUUUUUUUAGCAAUCUCACCGAGCACCCUGCCCCCUCCCCAAACCAGCCCUUCAGGCACCGAGAGGAAUCCUCACCACACGCAGGAUUAUCCGAGUGCUGCUCGUUUUCCCAGUGCUUCCUUUGAAGGUGGCAGAACUCCAGGAGAACAGGGCCAUCCGUGGUGCUGGGAUGAGGAGAGAGGGGUGUCAGCCAGAGUUCCCCCAUUUUCUGCCAGGCUGGAGAGUAUUUCUGGGUGAAACGCUUGGAAAUGAAAAGUUUGGAAAGAGAUAUGAGUUAAGUCUAUGUGACCUGUCCACCUUGGUCAAAAUCCACAGUUUUGUCCUGGAUUGAUGGAAUGUGACCUGUCCUGAUCCCAUUCCAUUGUCAUCCCUAUUUACUAGGAGUUGUUUUCUUCAGGAUUUCACAUAAAUAUCCUUAGCAAUAAACAGCAUUGUAUCAAAAAGCUCCUUAAACACAUCUGACACCUCUCUCCCAUUCUUCCCUUAACACAAACUACCUAAUUUUAAAUCCUAGGUAACUCUCUGAGUCAAAUGUUUUAAAUUUAAAUUCUGUAAUUACCACUCCUGGUUAACCAUAGGUUCCCUUCAUGCCCUGUUUGAAUGGGCAGAGUUGAGACAUUAAAGCUUUAUUUCAUUUUAUUCAGUGCCCAUAAUCAAAGUGUUUUCUGAAUGUAGGAUGAUGGAUUUUAUGGCAGCUGUGGAAAAGUAGAAAAUUUUGUCUUCUUUGUUCUAUUCUGUGCAUUAAGGCGAAGGCCAAGGAGAGAAAUUGUCAUGGUGAUAUGUUUACAGAAUAACACACAGGCAGAAAUUUUGGUAGAUAUUUUCCCCUCCACAUAUCCGGCUUGCUGUUGGAAGAACACACAUUUCACUCAAAACUGACACGGAAUGGGCGUAUUUGGAUCCCAACUCUGCUCCUUAGGACUCCUAAACACCUGUACUGCUGUUCCUCGGAAACAGGAAAACCCGGGUAAUUCCUGAACUUCUCCGCACUAGCCCAGGGAAAUAAAAAUUUAAUUCCCCUGAAAUAAAACUUGUAAUUCCCCGAAAUAAAACUCAUCAUUUCCCGCUUGGUGCAGUCCGGGAGCCGGAGGUUCCGCCGGCGCCCGCUGAGGUACCCCGGCCCCAUCCCGUUCCACGCCAAAAAAUCUUAAACCGGCGGAUUGAGUAGCAGGAAGCAGAGUUACAAAAUCCCAUUUUAAUCAAUUUAUUUAUUACUGCAGGAGGGCGCAUCCACCGCUCCCCCUGUGGCGAUCGGCGGGGCUGAGGGGAGCCGGGGCGCCCGGAGGGACCCGCGCCCCUCACGGAGCGCGCAGCGGGGCCGGCAGCACCGCGGGGGCCGCGCCGCGCACGGCCAAACUUUACGGGCAGGGCGGCGGCCACACGGCGUCCCGGGGCGGCUCGGGAACCGCAGCGAGAGCCCGGCGGGUGCGGCGGCCCCGGGCCGAGG